rnacentral:rRNA from 1 species
GACGAGCCACCCGAACGUUAUUCGGAAUUACUGGGCUUAAAGGGUGCGUAGGCGGUGUAGCAAGUCGGGAGUGAAAUACCCCAGCUUAACUGAGGAAUUGCUUUCGAUACUGCUGCGCUUGAGUGAGACAGAGGUAAGCGGAACUUAGGGUGGAGCGGUGAAAUGCGUUGAUAUCCUAAGGAACACCGGUGGCGAAGGCGGCUACUGGGUCUCAACUGACGCUGAGGCACGAAAGCUAGGGUAGCAAACGGG